rnacentral:rRNA from 1 species
UUUACUCCUACGGGAGGCAGCAGUAGGGAAUCUUCCACAAUGGACGAAAGUCUGAUGGAGCAACGCCGCGUGAGUGAAGAAGGCUUUCGGCUCGUAAAACUCUGUUGUUAGGAGAAGAACACUUUUGAGAGUAUACUGUUCAGACAGUGACGUUCCCAACCAGAAGCAAGUUC